AGCCCUCUGUAUCCGUACUGAAACUUCGUCACACACCACAUAACAAGAGCUAUUGAAACUCUCUAGAUAAGUGAAGCG
rnacentral:pre_miRNA from 1 species